CAGGCACUUCAGGAGUGAAUAGCAGCAGGCCAGUAAACACGAAUGAAGGAUCUCCAGAGAGGACACGGGAGGUCAUGAAAGUAACAUCAGUUCCUAGGAAGAGAAAGUGGAGUGAGGUGGAGAUUGCGGCUGUAGAAGAGAAAAUGAUGAAAUUUAUUCACUCUGGAGUUACUCCUGGAAAAGUCGACUGCAUUGCAUGCAUUACAGCAGCCCCCAAAGCCCUCGGUGAACGAGACUGGCAGGCGGUGAAGUAUUAUAUAAAAAAACAGAAUCACAGCAUGAGAGAAGGACCACUAAUAAGUAAGGUUGAUUUUGGUUGUUGAUUCUGUUUUUGCGUUUUAGUUGAAUUAUAUUAUCUGUUUUUUUGGUCUCAAUACC